rnacentral:misc_RNA from 1 species
UUUAUCGUUUCAGAGAUUGAUAAUCCCGCGCUGUGUCUGGCUGACAUCGCCGCGCAUCAGGGCAUUUCGCAGAGCUAUGUCAGGAAGCUGUUUGCAGCGGAGGGGACGAGGUUCACGGCCUACGUUCUCGAAACCCGCCUCGAAUACGUUUCGCGGAUGCUGCUGAUCCCGACGCGCGCGCGCAGUCCAUCAGCGCCGUCGCGCUGAAAUGCGGCUUCAAUGAUAUUUCGUAUUUCAA